GAUGAACGCUGGCGGCGUGCCUAAUACAUGCAAGUCGAGCGAACAGACGAGGAGCUUGCUCCUUUGACGUUAGCGGCGGACGGGUGAGUAACACGUAGGUAACCUACCUAUAAGACUGGGAUAACUUCGGGAAACCGGAGCUAAUACCGGAUAAUAUUUCGAACCGCAUGGUUCGAUAGUGAAAGAUGGCUUUGCUAUCACUUAUAGAUGGACCUGCGCCGUAUUAGCUAGUUGGUAAGGUAACGGCUUACCAAGGAAACGAUACGUAGCCGACCUGAGAGGGUGAUCGGCCACACUGGAACUGAGACACGGUCCAGACUCCUACGGGAGGCAGCAGUAGGGAAUCUUCCGCAAUGGGCGAAAGCCUGACGGAGCAACGCCGCGUGAGUGAUGAAGGUCUUCGGAUCGUAAAACUCUGUUAUUAGGGAAGAACAAACGUGUAAGUAACUGUGCACGUCUUGACGGUACCUAAUCAGAAAGCCACGGCUAACUACGUG
rnacentral:rRNA from 1 species